GACGAACGCUGGCGGCGUGCUUAACACAUGCAAGUCGAACGAGUGGCGAACGGGUGAGUAACGCAUCGGAACGUACCGAGUAAUGGGGGAUAACUGUCCGAAAGGACAGCUAAUACCGCAUAUUAUUCGAGCGGCCGAUGUCUGAUUAGCUGGUUGGCGGGGUAAAGGCCCACCAAGGCGACGAUAAGUAGCGGGUCUGAUAGGAUGAUACUCAACACUGUGACUGAGACACGGCCCAGACUCCUACGGGAGGCAGCAUUGGGGAAUUGUGGGCAAGGGGCGCAAGCCUGAUCCAGCCAUGCCGCGUGUCUGAAGAAGGCCUUCGGGUUGUAAAGGACUUUUGUCAGGGAAGCGGUACCUGAAGAAUAAGCACCGGCUAACUACGUGCCAGCAGCCGCGGUAAUAC
rnacentral:rRNA from 1 species